CAUUCAACUUGGAUGGUUAUGCCGUUGACUGUCUUCGGCAUAACCAUUCAACUUGGAUGGUUAUGCCGUUGACUGUCUUCGGCAUAACCAUUCAG